AUUGAACGCUGGCGGCAGGCCUAACACAUGCAAGUCGAGCGGUUGACGGGAGCUUGCUCCCUGAUUCAGCGGCGGACGGGUGAGUAAUGCCUAGGAAUCUGCCUAUUAGUGGGGGACAACGUUCUGAAAGGAACGCUAAUACCGCAUACGUCCUACGGGAGAAAGUAGGGGACGUUCGGGCCUUGCGCAAAUAGAUGAGCCUAGGUCGGUUUAGGUUGUUGGUUGGGUAAUGGCUCACGAAGGCGACGAUCCGUAACUGGUAUGAGAGUAUGAUCAGUCACACUCGAACUGAGACACGGUCCAGGUUCCUACGGGAGGCAUCAGUGGGGAAUAUUGAACAAUGGGCGAAAGCCUGCUCCAGCCAUGCCGCGUGUGUGAAGAAAGUCUUCGUAUUGUAAAGCACUUUAAGUUGGUAGGAAGGGUUGUAGAUUAAUACUCUGCAAUUUUGACGUUCCCGACAGAAUGAGCACCUGCUAACUCUGUGCCAGCCGCCGCCGUAA
rnacentral:rRNA from 1 species